CCAGGGAGGCCAAUUUAUUGUUUUUGGCCGUCCUUUUCCAACUUUGUUAUUCAAACCCCUGGGUUGCUACAUGCUAGUUUUUGAGUGUCUGAUAGUGUUUGAGGGAUUCCGAGAAGCAGAAUGUGAGAAUGCUGCUUGGGCUCUAUGGUCUGCCAUGGUAAGAAGUGCUGGCUUCCCCUUUGCCUUUCGCCAUGAUUGCAAGUUUCCUGAAGGCUUCCAGUCAUGCUUCCUGUUAUGUCUGCAGAACUGUGAGUCAAUUAAACAUUUUUACUUUAUAAAUUACCCAGUCUUGGGUAGUUCUUUAUAGCAGUGUAGAAACGGACUAAUAAAACAUGUACGUUUAAUGUCUCCCAAGUACGGGAUUUUUUUCUUUUUGUUAUUCUUCAUGUCACAUUUGGUUGCUAUAGGUAGGAGUGUGAAUCACAU
rnacentral:lncRNA from 10 species